UACGUAGGGUGCAGGCGUUUAAUCGGAAUUACUGGGCGUAAAGCGUGCGCAGGCGGUCUUUUAAGUCAGAUGUGAAAUCCCCCGGGCUUAACCUGGGAACUGCGUUUGAAACUGGAAGGCUAGAGUGUGGCAGAGGGGGGUGGAAUUCCACGUGUAGCAGUGAAAUGCGUAGAUAUGUGGAGGAACACCGAUGGCGAAGGCAGCCCCCUGGGCUGAGAUUGACGCUCAGGCACGAAAGCGUGGGGAGCAAACAGG
rnacentral:rRNA from 1 species